GACGAGCUUUAGGAAGAAGGGUUCGAUAGAAUUAGGUGCUAAACUGGUUCAGAUCAAGCGUAUGCACUGAAUAUGCUUUUCGAAAACUGAGCUGAAUAGGAUUUAGCAUGCAUUUCAUGCUAUAACACAUACAAACUGAAAGACCAGACUUUGACUCAUCAAUUUUGGUUGUGCCCUAAAUUAAAGAAGUUCCUGAAGAAAAUAUUCCAAUUGCUCAGUCUAAUAACUGGAGAAAGAAGUCACCCUUCUCUGUGCUCUUGCCUUAAUGGUUUGCUCUGAGUGGGCCCUUGAGCUACCAUAUGAGACCCAGCAGGCCCUCGUGUUUGGUAUGCUUACUGCCAGAAGAGCUAUUCUGAGCGUGGAUAUGAACCUCCCCGCCUUGCUUUAGGAAGUGGCUCAAUGAUACAGUUUCCUGUUUAUAUUUAGAGGAGAUAAGCUUCUCUUCAGCUAGCGCUCAAACUUAAGUUUGUACAGAUUUGUGGAGCAGGAUCAAGAUGACACUGGUGUAAGCCAUCUGAUGUGUUUGUGUCCCACAUGAUGGAAAUCAAACCACCUCCAUCCAGCUCCAGAGCGAGCACACACCAGCCAGUCCUUUUGUUUUGGCCUCCCUCCCCGUGUGGAGAAAGUCAAGCCCCCUCAGCAGGAGCCUGUGGUUCCACUGAAUCACAUGAAACAAAGACCUAAGGUCCCAUCCAAACCACAGACACUGCAAACGUGGUCUGCGCCUCAGCCCAUUCAAGCGCCACCUAUUUUGUGAAGACUUGUGGAUAAACGUCACCUCCUGGUCUGACCGGGCACUUAAGUGCUUGCCUUGUGCUCACCCACACAGUGAGCCCAAUGAACCCAGUUGCAGAUGAUCCAAACAACAGUAGGCUAUGUGGACGUCUUGUUGUUUAAUCUGAACGAGUCACAGUUUGACAAAAUUGAGACCGCAGCGCUCCCUGCCUGGACUUCAUAUCUCACCGAGCACAAUGAGGAUAAUACACUGCGAUCCACAUCACAGGACCAUUGACCUUUUACACAGUACACUGUAACUAACCAGUUUGGACGGUGGCCAUUUAUUAUAUGGAGCAGAGCGGCAGAAAGUGUUGUUUUGUGUCAGGAGGAGAAAGAGGAACCUGCGUGUUGUAACCCCACAGGAAAACAUCUCUGUGCCUCCGACCACUAAAGUGUUUCUGCUGCAGGAUCAAUUCAUCCUCGCUUUGUCGCUCCUGAGCAGCAGCAGCUUACAUUAUCACUGGAGUCACACUGAUACAUUGUUGCAUCUAUUGUCAAGACAAAAUGGCUCUGACAGUAGCAUUUAAGCUUAUUCUAUUCAUGGACUAAUAGUAACGUAUUCUAGUUAUUCUUUGUGGAUUUAAGAAAAUAAAA